CUACGGGCGGCAGCAGUGAGGAAUAUUGCACAAUGGGGGGAACCCUGAUGCAGCAACGCCGCGUGGAGGAUGACGCAUUUCGGUGUGUAAACUCCUUUUAUAUGUCAAGAAAAUGACGGUAGCAUAUGAAUAAGCACCGGCUAACUCCGUGCCAGCAGCCGCGGUAAUACGGAGGGUGCAAGCGCUACUCGGAAUCACUGGGCGUAAAGGACGCGUAGGCGGGUUGGAAAGUCAGGUGUGAAAUCCUACAGCUUAACUGUAGAACUGCACUUGAAACUUCUAAUCUAGAGUAUGGGAGGGGGAGAUGGAAUUAGUGGUGUAGGGGUAAAAUCCGUAGAUAUCACUAGGAAUACCUAAAGCGAAGGCGAUCUCCCGGAACAUUACUGACGCUAAGGCGUGAAAGCGUGGGGAGCAAACAGGAUUAGAUACCCUCGUAGUC
rnacentral:rRNA from 1 species